AUUCUGCAGGGUUUGAAAGGUUCCAUUGGCCAAAGAAUGCAAAGCUUGGAUGCUUCCACCGACAGAAAAACUGUGUCGGUAGUCAUAAAACAAUAUGGAAUUAUUUUGUGAAUCGCAUGAUUUUCUUGGAAAAGAAACGGUAGUUCUUGCCAUUAUGGUUAAGAUGAAUGAAUUAGACUGAAGACAAUAAAUUAUCUGUCAGUUCCUUUUGGCAUUUAAAGGUGGAUUAAUUGAGUAUGAUUUAAAUUCUCAUGUUCUGUAACCCCAAUAAGAAGCAUUAUAACUUGUAUUUCUGUGGAAGAUCAAUCUGGUUUUGUUUGUUAUCUUGUCAAUAUAGUUUCAAGUUCAAAAAAUGAAGACUGGAAUUCAUGGAAGAACCAGAAAACUUUCUAUUUCCAUCUAUCUCGCUUUCUCUUUUUGAGAAAUAUAAGGAUAAAUGACACAUUAUCCAAAAAAUACACAAGAAAGCAUAUGUUUGUAUAUAUUUUUUCCAUAGCAAUUGUUUAGUUUGAUGGCGUUUUUUAUUUGCGCAAAUGCAUAUGUGAAGUUGUGCUGUUAUCAGCUUACGUUUCAAUUGGUCCUUCCUGGUGGCAGGCUUUGGAUCAUGUCAUUGCAGAAUCAAGGCAGCAUGGGAUAAGACUUCUUCUUAGCUUAGUUAACAACUUGCAAGCAUACGGUGGGAAGACUCAGUAUGUGAAGUGGGCAUGGCAAGAUGGUGUUGGUUUAAGCUCUUCCAAUGAUUCCUUCUUUUAUGAUCCAUCA
rnacentral:lncRNA from 1 species